GAGUUUGAUUCCUCGGCUCAGGACGAACGCUGGCGGCGUGCUUAACACAUGCAAGUCGAACGAUGAAGUGGAGCUUGCUCCACGGAUUAGUGGCGAACGGGUGAGGAACACGUGAGAAACCUGCCUCGGAUUUUGGGAUAACAAAUGGAAACGUUUGCUAAUACCAAAUAACGUCGGAGAGUCACAUGGCUUUCUGACGAAAGGAAUUCCGAUUCGAGAGGGUCUCGCGGCCUAUCAGCUAGUUGGCGGGGUAAUGGCCCACCAAGGCAACGACGGGUAGCUGGUCUGAGAGGAUGGUCAGCCACACUGGGACUGAGACACGGCCCAGACUCCUACGGGAGGCAGCAGUGGGGAAUCCUGCGCAAUGGGCGAAAGCCUGACGCAGCAACGCCGCGUGCGGGAAGAAGGCUUUCGGGCUGUAAACCGCUUUCAGCAGGAACGAAAAUGACGGUACCUGCAGAAGAAGGAGCGGCCAACUAUGUGCCAGCAGCCGCGGUGAUACAUAGGCUUCAAGCGUUGUCCGGAUUUAUUGGGCGUAAAGAGUUCGUAGGCGGUCGAGUAAGUCGGGUGUGAAAAUUCUGGGCUCAACCCAGAAACGCCACCCGAUACUGCUUAACUUGAGUUCGAUAGGGGAGUGGGGAAUUCCUAGUGUAGCGGUGAAAUGCGCAGAUAUUAGGAGGAACACCGGUGGCGAAGGCGCCACUCUGGAUCGAUACUGACGCUGAGGAACGAAAGCAUGGGUAGCAAACAGGAUUAGAUACCCUGGUAGUCC
rnacentral:rRNA from 1 species